GUCGCACGACACGCCAGCGGUUCUCAAUCUGAAGAUUACGGCAUGUAAAGAGGAUGCGAGAAAGCCCGGCCGAACGGAAGACACGAUAAGCACGUACGGAAAUCCGUAGCGGGUUCUGAAUUUAAAACACGAAUAGUCUUGACACCGUUCUAAGUGUCCGAGUCUAAUGUUAUUGGACGGUCAAUAUUAGCGCGCUUCACGUGAUGAGCGACGAGCACCAUACGGCUUCCUUUUACACGCCACCGUUUUCCCUCCUAUCGAGGAAUGCUUUAGGCAUCGCUGGAACGACGGCGUUGCCAGACACGUUGAAUAGCAAGCAAAACAUUUCUUAUCUGGCGUGAUAUUAUAUCCAUUAACGCGUGUCAUGCGAAUUUCUAGAUGCAGCGACAUCGCAGCAUCGUUUAAAGUAUGACGUCGCUAUUCUUGACACCUUUCUUGGAAACUUGGGUGUAGAAAAAAGAAAAGAAUAUACCAAGACGGUUGCGGCACGGAUAAAAGAACGACGAGCUCGAUUUUAACGUUCCAAGGAACGCUUGUGCACACUAGCGAAGGUUACGAAAAUGUCAUCGGUCUCGAAACACUUAACCGCAAUGUAUAAUCAUUCUUUAUUUAUUUAUGAGGUCGAUACGCAACAUCGCAACAAAUU
rnacentral:misc_RNA from 1 species